rnacentral:sRNA from 1 species
GGGCCCUGCGCGAGGCAAGAGGCGUGGUCGCAAGGCCUGGGUUGCCACCAGCUUACCCAUCCCCUGGAGCUAAAGGGGGCGUCCAGCGUUCGAUUUCCCGUGUGCCUGUCUCCAUCCUGGAAUUCCUGACCUCUAUGGAGUGUUCAUUGUGCGCCAAGCACCGUUCCUCAAGACGAGUAGCUGAGGGGGCGUCAUCCUUACUUUUCAGACGAGCAAACUGAGGCCCGAGGAUUUCCCACCUGCACGAUGGCAGUUCCUGCUUCACUGUUCUGCAAGUGUCCACUCUUCACCCAUGGAGUUAGUCACACAGCAGCCAAGUCCCAAGCCGGGUCUGGUGAUGCACACCCUACGCACAGGAAGCAGAGGCAGGCAGAUCUCAGUUCCAGGCCAUCCAGGGGUACAUAGGGAAAUCCUAUCUUAAAAUUCAUAAUAGAGGGGCUGGAGAGAUGGCUCACUGGUUAAGAGCACUGACUGCUCUUCCAGAGGUCCUGAGUUCAAAUCCCAGCAACCACAUGGUGGCUCACAAUCUGUAAUGAGAUCUGAUGCCCUCUUCUUGUGUGUCUGAAGACAGCUACAGUGUACUCAUAUACAAUAAAUAAAUAAAAUCUUUAAAAAAAUUCAUAAUAGUAAUAAUAAUUCUAAGUGUAACAAAAGUACAUUAAAAUAAUUAUUGAUUCAAGUGCAAUGUUAUACUGAAAUGUAUUCAGACAUAUGCAUAAUAUUUAUAUAUGUAUAUGCUCAGAGUAGAACAGAUAGGAACAGUAAAAACAAAUUGAAUUAUGUCAGAAAAAGAUCCAAAAAGAAGCCAGUCGUGCUGCUGAGUAACAUCUGGCAGGCCCUAGAGUCAGAAUCGAAAGCAGCUGGGUGACAUCAGGCAGGAUCUUAAAGCUGCAGCCCAAGUUAGUUUCGAACUCACGGCGGUCCUGGCAUCUGAAGGGCAGCAGCACACCCAACUUUUCUUCUUGUACUUCUUCUCCCCCAUUCAUGUAAUCUUUGCUCGGAUGCCGAUGACCCCCAUUUCAGAGAUGCGGGAAAGGAGGCUUUGAACAAAUCAGUCACUCAACCAAGGAUGUACACCUGGCCAAGCCUCGGGCUCUUCCUCAUUGCACCUCUUCACCUAUGUGCAAGCAACAGAUCUUUCCAACAGUCUUCUGGACAUUCCUAGAGGUAGCUCAGCCCUUGACCUUUUGGCUACAAUCAAGAGUAGCAACAGAACUGAAGUUGAUGGCACACAGGGGAGACGGAGGCAGGUAGAUCUGAUUUUGAGACCAGCCUGGCCUACAGAGAGAAUUCCGGGACAUCCAAGGCAACAAAGAGAGACCCUGUCUCAAAAGUAAAAUAAAAUAAAAUAAAAUGCUGAGUACAAUCACCACAGAGCCUGCUCAUCA